GUCCUAGCUGUAAACUGUGCAUAUUUGCUGUAAAAGGAAUCGACCCCUUUUGCGGCGAAGCUAACGCGUUAAAUAUGCCGCCUGGGGAGUACGGUCGCAAGAUUAAAACUCAAAGAAAUUGACGGGGGCCUGCACAAGCGGUGGAGUAUGUGGCUCAAUUCGAUGCAACGCGAAGAACCUUACCUAGCCUUGACAUGUACGUAGUAGAAUGAUGAAAGUCAAACGAGGUAGCAAUACCAGCGUACACAGGUGCUGCAUGGCUGUCGU
rnacentral:rRNA from 1 species